UUCCGGAGGGGGAGCCAGAGGGGUGUGGACCGGGGGAAGCAGCAAGGGCUCAGGGGCGCAUUGUGUUGCCAAAUGAUCAUAAGCAUGAUAAUAAUAAAAGUGGGUGGUGGCUUCACCUUGGGAAGCGAGGCAUGGCGGGGUCCUGGUUUUGCAGAGAGCCAUUGCGCAGAGGGGUGUGUUGAAAGAGAGCGAGAGAGAUUGAGGACAUGCUUGGACAUCCUAGCCCUCUGGAUGUCAAUCACUCAGUCAGCCAUCCAGCCAGCCUUCAUCCUAUAGACCCCAAUUGCUUUACCUCCAUCUGAUCCUCUGAAGAUGCCAGCCACAGAUGCAGGAGAAAAUGCCAUAGAAGACAUUGGCCAUACAGCCCAGAAACCACACUACGCCUCAGCCUUAUGCCCUUGGUGCCCACCUUUGGCUCCCCACACACCUAUUAUAAGGGACACAUUUCUCCCCUCUAUGCACAUAUUUCUUCCCCUCUGGAAAGGUGAAUGCCACCCCCAUCCAAAGGUGAGCCUGAGGAUGGUGAUCGAAGGGAGAUGUGCUCCAUUGCAGGGCUGCAGAGACACGCUUUCUUCUUUCUCCGCCGCCCCUGAAACCUAGAUAAAUUGUGACCCAGUUUUGGCAGUCUGGAGAAUAUUGUUUGUUAUUGCUGCCACCGGUGGUGGUUGGGGAGGUGAGGAGUGGCCGAAAUCCAGGAUUGGUUCCCCCCUUGGUCUUCAGGAUUGGAUCAUCUGCUCUUGUCUUCUUCUGACCCCCAUGCCAGGAGAGGGACCCGGGACUCCCUGCCACCUCCCCUUUCGGUAGGGCACUUCAUUUCCACUUCACCUACUGAGACACACUUGGAUUGCGUAGCAUAGCAGAAUGGUUUGCUGGUUGUAAUGCAACAUCCCUUCUCGGUUCCGGUUGUUCAACUUCCUCUCUUUGACUCUGAGAGAUCAGCCAGCCCUCUGUUCUAUCUUGCUUCUUCUCUUGGACUGCUUCCUUCACGGUGUCUUUGGUUUCCUAUAUCACCGUCGCGACAAUUCUAGAUGGCCAGCCUGUUGUGGUGUCCAAAUGGUUGUGAAGUUGUGUUGUCGAAGGCUUUCAUGGCUGGAAUGGAGCCUCCGGUGGCCUAGGGGAUAAAAGCCUCACGACUUGAAGGUUGGGUUGCUGACCUGAAGGCUGCCAGGUUCGAAUCCCACCCGGGGAGAGCGCGGAUGAGCUCCCUCUAUCAGCUCCAGCUCCAUGCGGGGACAUGAGAGAAGCCUCCCACAAGGAUGGUAAAACAUCAAAACAUCCAGGCGUCCCCUGGGCAACAUCCUUGCAGACGGCCAAUUCUCUCACUCCAGAAGCAACUCCGGUUGCUCCUGACACGAAAAAAAAUAUGGCUGGAAUCACUGGGUUGUUGUGAGUCUUCUGGACUGUAUGGCCACGUUGUAGAAGCAUUCCCUCCUGACGUUUCUCCCACAUCUAUGACGGGCAUCCUCAGAGGUUGAGAGGCUUUGGUCACCUUGGUGGAUGACCUCCGCAGAGAGCUUGACGGGAGAGUGUGUCCCUGUUUGUUCUCCUGGACAUCUCAGCGGCUUUUGAUACCAUCAAUCAUGGUAUCCUUCUGGGGCAGCUCUCUGGAAUGGGUAUUGGGGGUGCUGCAUUGCAGUGGCUCCACUCUUUUCUGGAUCGUCGUGCCCAAUUGGUGAAGCUGGGAGAUACCUGCUCGGACCCCUGGCCUUUAACCUGUGGGGUCCCGCAAGGUUCCAUUUUUUCUCCCAUGCUUUUUAGUAUCUACAUGAAACUGCUGGUUGAGGUCAUCCGGAGUUUUGGAAUUUGGUGCCAUCUUUAUGCAGGUGACACCCAACUCUACUACUCCUUUCCACCUGAUUUCAAGGAAGCCCCCCCAAAUCCUGGACCGGGGCCUGGCUGUUGUGAUGGAUUGGAUGAGGGCUAACAAGCUGAAAUUGAAUCCUGACAAGACAGAGGUCCUCCUGGUCAGUUGUGUGGCCAAUGGGUGGCAACCUAUAUUUGACGGGGUUACACUCCUUCUGAGGACACAGGCCCGCAGUUUGAGGGUCCUCCUGGACUCAGCGCUGACACUUGAAACUCAGGUGUCGGUGGUGGCCAGGAGGGCCUUCGCACUGUUAAAGCUUGUGUGCCAGUUGCAACCAUACCUCGAAAAGUCUGACUUGGCCAUGGUGGUCCACGCCUUAGUUACCCCCAUAUUGGAUUACUGCAAUGCGCUCUAUGUGGGGCUGCCUUUGAAGAUGGCCUGGAAACCACAAUUGGUACAACGGUCAGUGGCCAGAUUGCUAAUUGAAGUGAAUUAUAUAGAGAGGGAAACCCCCCUAUUAAAACAGCUCCACUGGCUGCCGAUAAGUUUCCGACCCCAAUUCAAGGUGCUGGUUAUCACCUGUAAAGCCCUAGAUGGUUCAGGUCCAGCCUGUCUUUGCGAUCGGCUCUGGAACUGUAUUACCAGCUGUAUACUGUACAAGCCCUGCCCAGCCUUCUCAGCUCUGAACACACCCACUGUGCCCAACUAUUGAUUGGUUGUUAUGAAAUUCAUGUUUUUAUGAUGUUUUAAUAUGUUUUUAUAUGGUAUUUUAUUGUACUGUAAGGUAUUUUAUGUUGACAUAUUUGUACUCUUGUUUUUGGGCUUUGUCCCCAUGUAAGCUGUCCUAAGUCCCUUCAGGUUUGUCCAUGCUCUUACUCUUCUCCUCCAUGUGCACUGGCAGCGGGGUUUAUUCCUGCCACCAAGGCUCCCUCCUCCUCCACUGCCAAGGAACCUUUCUUCAUCAAUAGGACCAAGGAUUUCGUAUUGGAUUAUAGAAAGAACAGACCAGAAAUCCAGCGCUUGGUCAUAAAUUGAGACCAAGUAAAGUGGGUGGCCAGUUUUAAAUUCCUGGGUGUCAGUGUUAAGGGGGAUUUGACUUGGUACACUAGUAAGGCAGCAUUGGUUAAGAGACCCUAACAGAGCUUGUAUUAUCUGAGACUUCUAAGGAACCAACAACUGAACGAAAAAUUGCUGGUGACUUUCUACUGCUGAGUUAUAGAGAUUGUCUUAACCUACUGCAACUGUGCAUGGUUUAGUAACUGCACAGUGGCAAAUAGGAAGGCACUCCAAAGAGUCACUACUACCGUCCAGAGAAUCAUUGCUUGCCCUCUCACCUCUUUGGAAGAACUUCCUCUCUUUGGAAGUCCUGUAGCCUUGAGGAAGCUCAGAACAUUCUUAAGGACCCCUCUUACCAGACAUAUUCUUUUUUUGAAUAUGGUGUGGUGGAGGCUCCUUCUUUGGAGGCCUUUAAACAGAGGUUGGAUAGCCAUCUUUUGGGGGGUGCUUUGAAUGUGAUUUUCCUGCUUCUUGGCAGGGGUUUGGACUGGAUGGCCCACAAAGUGUCUUCCAACUCUAUGAUUCUAUGCAUUAUUGCCAUCUGGCAGAUGGUACAGGGUGAAAAAAGCAAGGACAAACAGCUUUUAUACUAGAGCUGUGGCUAUGUUGAAUUCCAUGGUUUUGCAUUGAUGUGGCAUUAGGGGCUAUGUGAUGGUGGUUGGGGUGUGGAGGAAUGGGUGUGUUGUUUUGUGAUGUGUGCUGGGGAAGGCAUUUAAUUACGUUGUGCAAGAGCACAAAGACAAUAAAGCUAUUCUAUUCUGUUCUAUGCUACUAGUGCUGAUGACUGUUCAACAAUAUCUGGCAGGCAGGACAUUUCCUUAAAGAUCAGAACAACUUCUGCAUGAGUUAGUGGCAUAGAAUCUCAGCAGAUGUGGAAAAACUCCAAAUAUUUGUUUAACUGAGAGAACAUCUCUCUAGGAAUCUCUGCCAGAUGUUGACUGGAGAAUCAUGCUGGAGGAUCUACAAAUGUCUUGAGAAGUGUUCUCUCUAGGAGUCUGCAGGUCCCUUGGCACGACUCCGUGGUCCAGAGCAGUGGUUCUCAACUUUUGGGCCUCCAGGUGUUUUGGACUUCAGCUUCCACAGUUCCUAACAACUGGUAAGAUGGUUGGGAUUUCUGGAAGUUGAAGUGCAAAACAUCUGGAGGCCCAAAGGUUGGGAUCCACUAGUUUACAGUAAGGGUCCUCAAACUUUUUAAAAAAAGGAUUGGAUCACGAUCCCGCAGGCUUGGGGGGGGGGGGACUACAGCUUGAAAAAAAUGAAUGAGUUCCUAUGCAUAUAUCUUGUUUGAAGUGCAAAAAACAACAACCAAACAAACAAACCAAUAAAGAACAAUAUAUUAUUUAAAACUAAGAACAGUUUUAACCAACAUAAACUUAUUAGUAUAUCAAUGGAAAUUGUGGACCUUCUUGUAGCUGAUGAGAUAGUCAAGUCAAUUAUGAUUGCUGUUGUUGUGUGCUUUCAAGUCGUUUUAGACUUUGGGCAACCCUAAGUCUAACAUUUAGGAUGGGGCCAGGGAAAUGGCCUUGGAGGGCUGCAUCUGGCCUAUGGGAUCCGUGAUCUAGAGAUUCCUAGAGGGCAUUGUAAUAAAAUCUGUGAAUAAUCAAAUCUGCAAAAGUCAAACACAUAAAUGUAAAGACCAACUACAUUCAUAUUUAUGCCAGUUGACAGUCAGUGAGUGGCAGUGCGACAUCAGGGACUCCUAUGGGAUCCAGCUGCCAUCCUUUGCACAUUUCUGCUCAGUAAUGAAAGGACUAAACCCUCUUUCAGGUCUGUAACCUCAGCGCAACUGUCUGGAUUUUAAGGUGGAUUUCAAGGGUCAUAUUGGAAAGCAGAUUUUAACCACAACAUAUUGGCUACAUAUCUGAUACAAUCUCAGAUGUUAACAUAUUUUUUCUCCCAAUAACAUUCAACAAUUUUGAGGAUGUAUUCUUGGCACUGAAAUGUGUGGAAGUGUGCCAUUUUAUUUGCUAUGUUUUCCCCCCACAUUUCAUUAUCACCCUUGUCAUCCUCACUAAAACUUUAGUCUGGGGCAGGUAGCUGUGGUGGCAGCAAAUAUUAAUGGGAGGGACAGGACAAAUGGAAAGAAGAGGUGGCACCUGGCUGUCUGCUUCAUGAUGCAGCAAAUGAGAAGGAAGCUAUAAUGUGAGAAAGAAAGUGAAAUGGAUGGAAAGCUGAUAGAUCUCAAUGAAAGAAGAGAGAGGAAGAUACAGAUGAUGAAAGAGGAACAAAAAGACAGAAUGUUCGUUUCCAGUGGAGAAAAAGUGUCUGUUACAUGUAGAGACACUCAGUGGAAAACAGUGGAGAAUGGGGCAUCAGGACACUAAAGAUGGAAAGUGAUGAUGACAUGAACAUUGCUGACAGUGUGGAAGAAGAGGACUGUCAAAGAGGUAUGAAUUUCAGAGAGUCUAAAGAAACAGGAAAAGAGGGAGGAUGAAGAGUGGGUGGAGGGGAGGGGGGCAAAGGUGGUUAGAGCAAAAAAGAACAGAAUUAAUAAAAAGGAAGAUCAGUGGGCUCUUAGGAUCUGCUGGGUUUUGGUCCCAGGACCUGCAUGAAUAACAAAAUAUAUGAGUGCUCAAGUAGCAUUGUAUACAAUGGAUGUAGUAAAAUGAUGUCCCUUAUAUAAAAUAACAAAAUCAGGGUUUGCUUUUUUAAUUACUCAAAAUAUUUUUGAUUUAAAAAACCCCAUCUUUAAGUUACAGAUUCUGGAAUCCAUGGCUACAGAAUCCAUAGAUAUGGAGGUCUGACUUUAUAAUUUUGUACACAGUAUGGUUGAUUUCUAAAAUAUUUGUAGGUGUAUCGACUAGCAUGUUAAAAAAAUACACCUGGAGAUCAAUAUGUCAGCAUGAGAGUUAAAAUAAAAUUGCUCAAAAUAAUUAAUUGCUUUGAUUAUUAUCAAAAUAUUAUUUUGUUGGAGAAUUUUGGCCCAAGAAUGAUUAUUGCAAAAAGAGCCCACACUGUCCAAGUGGGGAAUAAAAUAUUAACAGUCAGUGAGAAAAUUAUACAUGGUAUAUUUAUUAUUUUAUUUAUUUACGAUACUUCUACUCCGCUUUUCUCAACCCCAAAGGGAACUCAAUUCAAUACCUCCAAAAUCAGUGUACACAAACAUUUAAAAUAGAGUUAUAAAAUAUAAUGAAAACAAUUAAAAGCAUUUAACACAAUACAACAUAAUAAUUCACAUGAUCCACAAAUGUUUAUUUAUUAAUGUCAACAUUAGGUUUUUUAAAUAAGUGCACACAGAUAUAGGUAAGUUUAAAAAUAGUAAAUGACUAGGUUGUAGUAGCAUGUGUUUUUCUUCAGAUAGAAAAAAAUUAAAUGAAAAAUAUCUUGACUUAUUUCAGUUGAAAAAUUAACUGCUGUAUUAAUUUGUUUAUUCCAGAUAUUGUUGCUGUUGUUGUUCCAGACAUAAGACUAGAGAUUAAGAAACCUUUCACUCCCUGGAUUGAAAAAUGCAAUUCUUCAGCAUGGCAGGGGCAAAGUCGCAACUCUUAUAACCAGAAAGGGGAAAAAUCAGGAGAACAUUCACAAUUAUAGUGCUAUAAUUCCACAUUAAAUUGCUAUGGUUCCGUCUUAUGAAAUCCUGGACUUUUUAGUUUAGCCAGUUACAUAGAUAAUUCUAAUGCCCCUCCCUGUACUACAAAUCCCAAAAUUCUGUGUGAUGGAACCUUGGCAGCUAAAAUAGAAUCAUAGCACUAUGUUUGUGCAAUGUGAAUGGACCCCUGCUGGAAAAGUACUGUCACUCAAUACUAAUGGCUGUUGCCUCAAAAAGAAACUCAAGACGACUCAGUGGAGCAACAUUUUAAGAGAAUGCAUCUUUAGAAAUGGAAAGAAAUAAUAGAGAUUGCUGGAGAAAGAAAGGAUCAGAGAAGCUGAACAACAGCCUCCAGAGACGCAGGAGAAUCUGAACAGUAUAGCAAUUGAACUGUCUGAUUCUCCAAAAGAUUUCUGACCCAGAAUCAGAGAACUAUACUUGCUGUAUUUUUUUUAAUAUUGCCCCCGCAUUGUCAUCAUAACUAUGACAAUUACUCUGCAUCAUUAUAAUUAGAACAGACAUUACCCCUCCUGAAAAACCUAACUUGGCAGCUCGCCAACCACAGUGUAUUUAAAGCACUGACUGGGGCAUUGCCAAGUUGCAAAAGUAGGUUUUGGGGGUCAUUGUCUGGUUAUGAAUGUAUAUGUAAACUCUCAACAAUUAGGAUAUCUUAAGUCCAGAUUAUGAUUUUUUUUUAAAAAAAUAAUAAAGAUUCCUACCUCAACCCUUAUUGUUUGAUGUAUAGUUUUUUUAAUCUUAUGAAUUCUCCGUUGGAUUGGUGCUCUUUCAUUCUCUUCUAAGCUCACAAGGGGGACAAAGUUGGUAGUGGGGAAUAAUACAGACAAGAGCUUCACCUUCAUUGUAGUAACGAUUUUAGUACAAUAGCAUAAUAUAAAUUGAACAGCCAGUUAGAAAUAACAUACAAAGCAUAGAUGCUGCAUAUUCAAUAUAGACACUAUUGACAGAAUGUGUUGGCGCUUUUGCAUUAACUUUCCACCUCUGUGCUCAGAAAUCCAAAAGUUUAUGAAACAAUGCUAUGACAUUACAUUUUCUCUAUCCCACUGAAAAAUUUAUUUGAAAGGGAAGUGUUUAUUAUAUUUCUAUUUAUUCAUCUUUUUUUUGGAAAUAUAAAUAUGUUUUGGCUAUAUAAUGGUUUUUAUGGUCUGUUAAUAAAUCAUUAUAAGCCAGUCUAGGAGAAAGGAAGGGUAUAAAUCCAACAAGCAAGUAAAUAAAUAAAUAAAUAAAUAAAUAAUGUUCUAAUUUGUGUUACCCUACUGAACUAAAAACCUUGCUGGAAUGGAGAUGGAAAAACCCAAAUUUUUCCCCCUUAUCUCUGUUUUGAGCUUUGCCCUGCUCAUAGUUUCUGUUCUCCAUUAAAGUACUCUAGAAAGGGGCAGGGAAGACAGUGAGAGGGAGGAGAUAUGUGAAUAAUAAUAAUAAUAGUAAUUCCUAAUAUUGUUUCUGCAAAAAAUGUUUUUCAAAUUACACUGAAUUUUAUUGCGGGGAAGGUAUGUUAUGAUGUCAUUUAAUAAAGACAAAACAUAAUUUGCUAUGAUCAGUAUCAAGACUUUGCUUUUGAUCUCUGCCCCUUAUCUUGGAGGCACUGAUGCUAGAUUAUGAUAUUUACCUGCUUCUUGUUUGUGUGCUUCCCCAGAAUCAGCAGGGUUAAAGUUGCAGCAUUCCUUACUUGACCUUAGGACAGGGCUUUGUCUGUCUACUACUAGGCUGCAUUUUUCACUUCCAGAGGUCCUACUACACCCUCUUCUAAAACUAGAAAGAUAAAUUGAUUUGAAGGAUGGUUCCUCGCCUAAUAAUCUGUAAUGUUGGAGGGUAUGUAUUAACUGCAUAUCUCAGAUAGCAACUAAAUGAUCAUAAUGAGAUAGGAGUCUGCAUGGUCACCUGGUGAACCUGCAUAAACAUGUUGGGUUCUACCAGAGACUGGGACUGUUUUACAAUGGUUUUGCUUCUUUUAAAAUAUGUAGCCACUACCAGAUACAUGCUUUCCCAACAUUUCACAGAUGGGAACCGGCUCCAAUAUGUCUAAACAACCUCAAAGCCUGGUAAAGAUAGCAAAGGUUAUUAAUGUGGAUGUAAGGGAAACUUAGCAUUUUGAUCAUUAGGUCUGUAGGAAUUCAUUUUUUAUUUAUACUGCUUAUUCCAAGAUAGAUGUAUUCAGUAUCCAGCAACAUAAAUGAACUACAUCUUAUACUUGUUAUGAUGGUGCUGUGAGUUUUAAAUGUGGAAUGUAUAUGGGCAGUGUCCUUAAAAAAAUCAAGUGAACAAAGUUUUGAGUUUCAUUUUGCUCUAAUUUAUCAGAGAAGCAGAAGCAGUUUGUAGUGGAUGAAUGUUGAGCAGAGGGGAAGCAAAUAUGUUCAGUUGCAUGUAUCACAGAUGUGACUAUAUAGUUUUUCCGCCCCUUGUUUUGCACAAGUAAAAAUAGGAUCUAAAAUUAUCAACUUCUAUCUUUCUUCAGAGUGACGGCAGUUUUGGCUUCUCCAGACCUCCAUCAGGCUGAAAAUUAAAUGACAAUGAAGUUCUGGUGAUGCUGAACAUCACUUUUGGUUUCUUUUUCGCUGUUUUGGGGUGGCCCCGUACAGCAACCAUCACGGACAAAACUAUUGCACUGAGGUUGUAUCUACAUUGCCAUAUAAUUCAAUUUCAGAAUGCAGAUUAAUUGCAUUGAACUGGAUUAUAUGAGUUUAUAUUGCCAUAUAAUCCAGUUAAUCUGCAUACUGAAACUGCAUUAUAUGGCAAUGUGGAUGAUGAUGAUAAUCAUCAUCAUCAUCAUCAUCAUCAUCAUCAUCAUAACACUUUAUUUAUAACCUGCCCUCUCUCCCCAGGGGGACUUUGGUCAAUUUCCAGGGAAUAACAAAAAUGGCAAAUAUUCAAUGCCUAAAAGAGGGUACAGCCUGGGGAUAAUUUUUUUCAGUAGAAAAAACACAUUUUUCUUCCAUAAAAUCAAUUUCCAAUCACUACCUUAGAUAGUCUGCACUAGUAGUUUGUGGUAGGCAUCAGCACUGUAGAAUAAAAGCCAACUUUAACUGCUAAGGCUCAGUGCUAUAGGAUUUGUAGUUUAGUAAAGCAUCAGCAUGCUUAAUCAGAAACGGCUGAGGACCUUGUAAAACUGCUACUUCCACAAUUCCAUAGCAUUGAGCCAUGGCAGUUAAUUUUACCAUGUAGAUGCAGCCAUACAACAUCAGUUAGGGUGACAUGGCUACCUAAGGAAGCUGAUUUUACAUGUUGUGUAAGUAUAGCAAAUAUGUUACUUAACUUAUACGUAAUUAUUGUAUAUUUACCAAAAUGUGACAUUUCCUGUCUCAGGUGUCAGAAUAAUGGGUAACUUUGGCUGUUAUGGCCUUGGACCAUUUUCGUAGAGACAGCUUAAUGCAAUAAAAUAUUUUAGGCUGGCAAUGGACUUUCAGAGCAGGUAUUUGAAAUGUGGUCCUCCAGUUCUUAUUGUGGGAGCAUGUACGAAACCAGUUAAUGUGUGUGUGUCAACUGUAAAAUAAGAUGCAUGAAGCUGAUUGGCUGGGCCAUGCCUGGGGAGUUGGAUGAUCCUGGGACUUUUGGAUACUGUCACAUUUUUCAGGCUUGAACUAUGCAGGUGCUCAGAGAGAGAGUAAGAAAGAAGCAGAGACACAGAUUUUGAAGUGUGCUCUUGCUUCAUGGGCUGCUGGAGGGAGAUUCUCCACAUGGACAGAGAAAGACCAUUUUAAAUCUCUCAUAAAAGGACAUUAAGUGAGUUGAUGCCACCUAUCACAUGAUUGUAAAUAUGUUGUUCUGAAUUACACUGAGUACACUACUUGUUUUUUAUUUUUCAUCUGCAUGGCAUACUUUCUUUUUGUGGCAAAGCAGUGUGUGGGCUAGUCAAACGUGGACUAAACAUGAUUUUUCAUUCCGGCACAUUUAUCAGUUAUAGACAAGUGUUGAUAUGAGGUGGGAUGUUCCCCUUACCUGAAGUGGAGAAAAACCUAACAGCAGCUCUUCUGUAAUUGAUAAAUACUGAUGUCCAAAAUGUGGGGCAGAGAUAUUUCACUACUGAACUGUGGCGGCUAGGCUUUAGAGACAACAGGUUUCCAUCAUAGCUUCUCUGUAGAAACACAUGGCAGGUUUCCAUCUCUGAGUCACAGCAAUUUCGUUAUUUAUCAUUUAUUUAUAAGGUGAUCAAUAUAUCCAUCCCUUCUGGCAUUACUCAGUGUGGCAUUACGCUUUUGUUGAAAUUUGCAUAAUCAAUGACAUUCUAGGCAGUUGAUGAAAUGCAUGCGAGUGAAAAAAAUAUAUAAAUAACUUGUUUUCUUUGUGCCUAUGGAUUAAAGCUCCUGCCAACCUAGCAGUUCGAAAACAUGCAAAUGUGAGUAGAUCAAUAAGUACCGCUCCGGCGGGAAGGUAACGGUGCUCCAUGCAGUCAUGCCAGCCACAUGACCUUGGAGGUGUCUACGGACAACACCGGCUCCUCGGCUUAGAAAUGGAGAUGAGCACCAACCCCCAGAGUCGGUCACGACUGGAUUUAACGUCAGGGGAAAACCUUUACCUUUACCUAUGGAUUAAAGAGAUUUUUGGCUACCUGUGUUGAAACUAAAAGCCAGUUAUAAAUUUGACUACAGACUCCUGAACUUCUGACAUAUAUUUGUUAGUGCAAUUACGCUGGCUGUUUUUUCCUCCCUCCUUCACCUUCUGCUUCAAGAACUCAAGGGGGUGAUAGGCCUUCCAGUACUGCCUUCCUCCUCCAGGCAGCCCAUCCACUUGUACAUCCCAUCCUGGUGCAGUAUUAUUACACACAGUGGUAAAAAGGAAAAGAAUCCCCUUCCAUUGUUUUUCUCUCCCUUCCCCAGUUUCCCAGCUGGGCUCAUCGCAGGGUUGACUUCAGCUUCCGAGUUGUCAGUUCUGAUUUUUCAGAGGCUUUUAUGAAAGGGCUGGGGGAAGGGAUGCUCUGCUCAGUUCUUCUGCAUCUCUUUUCUGCCCUGUUUUCUGUUGAUAAAGCUGGCAGAGGGUUGUGCGUAUAUGUGUGACCACGUUUUCUCCCCAGGCUUGUUGGUUCAGUCCUUGCAUCCUCUCUCCCAACAGCCCUGUUGCCUGGACCAAAACAGAACAUUUGAACUCUCUGUACCAUGAAGGGUGAUGUGCAUUGGUGGAGGAUGGGUGUUUCUCUGCAUUGUUCACAGCUGCCAUCAUUUUCAUGCACAGCUUCCCUUACUCAGUACCAAGGAUGUGUGUGUACAUGUAUAUGCAUAUACACACACACAUAUAUACAUUCAUACUCUGCUUUAAAAAACAAAAAUUUGCCCCAAGUAGUCCAGAUUCUUCACUGAAAAAAUGGUCAAUUUUGUGAUUGCUUUUGAAUCCCCACGUAGUCAUAGAAGCCUGGUAGGUAACCUUGGCAGGUCAUGCUCUCUCAGAAUGCAUCUACACUGUAGAAUUAAUGCGGUUUGACAUCACUUUGAUCACCUCUGGCUCAAUGCUGUAGAAUCCUGGGACCUGUACCUUGGUGAGGCAGCAGAAAAGACUAAAGAUAUUGAUCCUACCUAUGCUGCCAUAAUAAUGUAGUUUCAGAAUACACUUGUAACUGCAUUGAACUGUAUUAUAUGAGUCUACAUUGCUAUAUAAUGUAGUUAAACUGUAUUCUAAAACUAUAUUAUAUAUUAUAUAUGGCACCCUUGUGAAACUAUAAUUCCUAGGAUUCUUUAGCAUUUAGCCAUGGCAGUUAAUUUGGUGACAAAUAGCAUUAAUUCUACAGUGUAGAGGCACUGUCAGAGAAAGUCAAGGGCAAACCCCCUUUCAACCAAUCUUGCCAAUAAAACCUCAUGAUACUUUCACUUUAGAAUCAUGAUGAGUUGCAAAUGACUUAAAGACAUACAACAACAACAACAACAACAUCAACUCUGGAGCUUUAAAAAUUUGUUACUUUUUUGGUCUUAUUUUCUUCAGGUGUUUUGGUUGCUUUUAAAGACCACUUCAUUCUGAUUUUAGUGAUCAUGUGGAGGAGAGGCAGGAAGAAAAUAUAUGGCUUUGGAAUAUAUCAAAAUAUUGUUUCAAUAAUUUUCUGCCUUUUGAGAUUUUAGUAAUCAUUACUGUACUUAGAUAUAGUCCGCCCUCUACAUUUGCUGAGUUUAGAGCUUCAGGCCCCCCACAAAAGUGGGUAACGGACAAAUUAAUUUUUUUUUUUCCAAAGGUAUAGAGGGCUGACUAUUUUAAAGUGAUGCAGUGAUGUAGUGGUUCGAAUGUUGGAUUGGGACUGGAUUUACACUGCCAUAUUACACUGCAUUAUAUGGGCCUACAACACACUCUAUAUAAUGCAGUUCUAAACAGUAUUAUAAGACAGGGUAUAUCCAGCUUGUGACUCUGGAAAUUAGGAUUUGAACCUGUGGUCAGCCAUGGAAACCCAUUGGAUGAAUCUGGGCAAACCACAAACUCUUUGCAAACCUACUAUGAAUAAUUUUUCCAAGAAACUCCAGUGAUAAGGUCUCCUUAGGGCUACCAUAAGUUGAAAAUGACUUUAAGGUAAGCAGCAAGACGAUUUGUUCCCAUAUACCAUGUUUGGGAGGAUGAGAAUCAUGUGCCUUGUAAUUUAUAAAAGGUUCUCUGCCUGAUGCCCUUUAAUUCUUUCUGGCCUUAGGUGCUAAUUAGUUCCUGCCUUUAGGUAAAUAGGAUGUUUGGGAGCUAUCUUUUCAGCACACCUAUAUGUUUAUACAUAUAUUAUCUUUAUGCCAACCCAAGGUAUAAGUUCAAAAACACAUUAUGGCUAAAAUGAAUCCUAAAAAGGGUAAAUAAAACAAUUAUGUAGCACAAAUUUAAGGUAGUAUGAAAACAUUUAAAAACAAAGCAAUGGCUGGAUCUACAAUGUCAUAUAAUGAAGUUUGAAUCUGCUGUGUAAACCCAAAUAAUGGUAUUAUAUGGCCGUGUAGAUCCAGCCAAUGAGUAAAAACAUAGCCUGCAAGAGUUAUGCUUCCAUACCCAAUUAAGGAUGAUAUCCUCUUUUUCCAUUAACUAGCUUGGCUGUCAAAGGGACCAUAACAGGCCAUAGAGCUAUAUAAACAUGGUAGAGCCAUAGUGCCCAGUGAGCCAAAAGAGACAUAGAUCUGGCUGUCACAUGGUAUCAACAUUUCCUAUGUCCAGUGGUUUUUGAGCACAGCUUUUUCAGCAAUGUAUUGAGUCUCUGGCAUUUCAAUGUGUGGUCCCAAUGUUUGCCCUCAAGGUUCUAUGUCCAAGUACAAAACAUGCUCAUGCCAUGUCGUUUAUGAAAAGGACUUACACAUCCACAUUUAUUGCUCUCUUUUUUUAAAAAAAAAUAUAAUGGCUACAGCAGAAGGUUUCUUCCCCACUCCCCAAUGCAUGAGUUUUAAAGCUGUGAUUCAUAUUCAUGUGCGCCUUUCCUAACUGGCAUGCUAUUUUCAUAUUUCAUGCCUGGAUUCUUUGAGAAUAUGCUUUUGGCAGAGCAAUUGUUGUUAUCUAUGUCCAUGUGGUUAAAUGCAAGCAUACCCAACUACAGUAUAUUUGAAACUGACUUUGGGUUACUUUGGCUUCUCCAGUGUUGGUGUGUCUACGUAUAUUAUUUUACUUUCAUUCUUCCUGCAUUUGAGUCUCCAAAUUUAAGUACAGUAGAGUCUCACUAAUCCAAGCCUCGCUUAUCCAAGCCUCUGGAUAAUCCAAGCCAUUUUUGUAGUCAAUGUUUUCAAUAUAUUGUGAUAUUUUGGUGCUAAAUUCGUAAAUACGGUAAUUACAACAUAACAUUACUGCGUAUUGAACUACUUUUUCUGUCAAAUUUGUUGUAUAACAUGAUGUUUUGGUGCUUAAUUUGUAAAAUCAUAACCUAAUUUGAUGUUUAAUAGGCUUUUCCUUAAUCCUUCCUUAUCAUCCAAGUUAUUCGCUUAUCCAAGCUUCUGCCGGCCCGUUUAGCUCGGAUAAGUGAGACUCUACUGUAUUUUGUAUGCAUUAUUCUGCCAAGGAAGUGAUCAGCAUUUUGGUUUAUAUAGAAUUCAUGCAUUCUGUACCCAUGAAUUGGACCAUCCACAGCUUGAAAAUAUUUUUAAAUAUGCUAAAAAGCCAUUUUAUUUAAGCAUAAUAUUUUAUUAUUCCAUUGUAUAACUUGAACAUCAAUGGAUUUUGGGAUCUGCAGGUUGUCCUGGAACCAACUCCUAAUUGAUACCAAGGACAUGCUGUAUGUUGUACACAAAAUAUUCAGCCAGUCUACACUAUCCUGCUAAUAGAUGUGGAUAUAGUGGAGAAGUAAUGGAGCCAAAUAAGUGAGUGAUGUACAGUUCAUAUUCAAAGGACACAGUUCUUUUUACCAGUAGACAAAGGUAAUUCGAAUUCUGCUACAUUGAAAAAAUAGUAUCACAGACUCUACUGGCUAUUAUCUGCAGCAGCGUUGUCCAACAUUUUGGUUUCGCUGGGCCAUAUUGGAAGAGGAAGAAUUGUCUUGGACUACACAUAAAAUACACUAACACUAAGAAAAAAAGGAAAAAAAGGACUGUGCCUAAUUUUUACAAUAUUCAUUACCACAAAUGACCUAAAUAACCCCUUGCAUAAUAGUGCCAGUAUGUUCCACCCUGUUCAGAGGGUCUUUCAAAAUCAUCAAGUAGGUCUUCUGGCUGAAUUAUUUGCAAUUAUGUUGUUAAUUAUAGGUCAUAGUCCAAUAUGUGUGGACAUAGCACACUCUGGUUAUUCCAUUCCAUUCUGCUGUUGUCUACAAAGUUUGUGCCCAAGAACUGUGCAAUUGAGUUACAAAAAAUCUCAUGAAUAAAUCUCACAUGUUUUAAGCAAAAUAACGAUGUUUGUAAUGGGCUGCAUUCAUACUGUGUUUCCCCGAAAAUAAGACAGUGUCUUAUAUUAAUUUUUGCUCCCAAAGAUGCACUAGGUCUUAUUUUCAGGGGAUGUCUUAUUUUUCCAUGAAGAAGAGUUCACAUUUAUUGUUGAACAAAAAAAUGAACAUUUAUUAUAUACUGUACAGUAGUUGUCAUCAUAAACCAGCAUAACCAGACAAACUGUGAACCCUAUCAAGAAUUUCUUGUUACUACCAAUAUUUCCAUGUACAACACUUUAUGAUACGUAAAUUUACCAAUCCUGCAUACUCUGGUGUUUUGUUCGGCGAGCAUGCUUCCAAACACAAACUUUGCUAGAUCUUAUUUUCAGGGGAGGUCUUAUAUUUAGCAAUUCAGCAAAACCUCUAGUAGGUCUUAUUUCUGGGGAUGUCUUAUUUUAGGGGAAACAGGGUAGCUAUCUUGGGCUACAUGUGGCCCGUGGGCAAUGGGUUGGACAAGCCUGGUCUAGUGUUGUCAUUAUGUGCCUUCAAGUUGUUUCUGACUUAUUCACUUGAUGAUCAUAUGUCAAUGGUGAAUAGGAUCAGGGUAAGGCCAUUCUACUUUUGUACUUCUCAUCUUUUACAUCUGCAGCCCUCUUUUCUUCCUUAUCACACUGAGCUGCCUUGUUCCAGAGAAAAGCAUGAAAUGAUCAGUUGAUUAUUUUAAAAGAAAUAUUAGGCCAAGGGUAGCAUGCAUCCCGAGGGCCACAGGUUGACCACCUCUGGAUUAACUAGUACAGCAGGUAGUUGCAAAGCAGAAGUGAGUGGCUGUUAGUAGUGAAGAUGUGUUCAAAGAGAAGUUGGAAAGGUGGGGGUGUUUCUGGUAUAUCUUCACUGAGUAAUGUUGAAGAAAUUAUUUGCAUCUUUCUGUAUGAAAAACAGAUUGCGGAUCAUGUGGAUAUUUUGCAAAGAGGUGCGUUGGUGGUAGAUAUAUCAGGGAAAGGUUAAUUAACAGACUACGAUGUUUACUACAGAGUAGCUGCAUAAAUAUUAAAGGUGUUUAUUGGGUCCUAUUAUGUCUUUUCAAAACUAGUUUAGAUGUUAAUUUAGAUCCUUGGUGUAGCAGUUCAUGUACUCAGAUAGUGUAUAAUAGAGAUUAUCUUUUUUAUUUUGGAGAAAUAGUCUUCUUUCAAGAAGAAAUUGUUCCUUGAGAUGCCACGCUAACCACAUGUCUGGACUUUGACACCAGGGAAAGGUCUCUAGAUGCCUGACAUGAUAAACAAAGGGCAACAUGCAUGUUAUGUAGGGAGCCAGACUUGUUGCUAGGAUGAGGCGAAGGAGGACCACUAUCCAUCUGCUUUCCCCUGUGUUUGAUUCGCUUGAGGCAGCUGAGCUUUUUGGCAAAAGGAAUUGGUAGUAGUUUGUAUGAAAAUGAGAUGCAGAGCUGAAGGUUUUAGUCCCAGCUGCUGCAUUUGUAAUAUUUGUUAGUAACUACAUUAGAAAGCCAGCAUGUUGUAGUUGUUUCAGUGUUGGAUUGUGACUCUGGAAUUCUGGAUUUGAAUCCGCACUUGGUGCUGGGCGACCUUUGUCAAGUCAUGAUCUCUAAGUCUCAGAAGGUGGCAAAUGCAAGCCCCAUCUGAACAAAUCUUGCCAAAAAAACCCCAAAACAACCUGGUGAAUGGUUCAUCGUACAACUGUCAUAGGUUACAAACAAUUUGAAGGCAAACGAGAACUAAAUCAUAUGAAGCAAUGCAAAAGUUUUAGUUGCAGAUUCUCUCUCUCUCUUUCAUCUUUGAUAUGAUACAUUUGGUAUGUGUAUCAUGCUGUUCCCAAUAUCCAGUUGCUCACAACAAUGAAGUUUUGAUCCAACCAUCGUCACAUAUGUUGUUGUCAUGUACAUGUUACAAAAGAAUCAGUGAUGGUGGGAAAGACUUAAGAGAGGCAGCUUUAGAGUCGGACCUUUGCAUUUACUGGGAGUAGGAGGACAGGACCUCUGUGAAAGUGAAAAAUUGUGCAUACAAUAAUUACUAUUUUUACCUAAGAAAACCGCUCUCUGGUAGUUUUUAGGGUCUUCUAGCAUGCCCCUGUGGUCAACUUCUGCUUGGAAACUGACCAUAGAAUCAUACUGGAGGACCUACAGAAGAGUCUCACUUAUCCAAGCCUCUGGAUUAUCCAAGCAAUUUUGUAGUCAAUGUUUUCAAUAUAUCGUGAUAUUUUGGUGCUAAAUUCGUAAAUACAGUAAUUACAACAUAACAUUACUGCGUAUUGAACUACUUUUUCUGUCAAAUUUGUUGUAUAACAUGAUGUUUUGGUGCUUAAUUUGUAAAAUCAUAACCUAAUUUGAUGUUUAAUAGGCUUUUCCUUAAUCCCUCCGUAUUAUCCAAGAUAUUUGCUUAUCCAAUUUUCUGCCGGCCCGUUUAGCUUGGAUAAGUGAGACUCUACUCUAUAACAUUUUAAUCAAAUGCACAUACAUUAAACCUGCAAAUGUGGAGGGCCAACUGUAUUUUGUAACAUGUAUUCUUCCCUGCCAUCCUUUGCUCACCCUUAUUGUGUGCUCUAUCUUGGUGCCCUUGGCUUUUGGAAGUUGAGUUGAAUCUGCUGUUAUGUUAGGGCACUGUCUGCAAAGUGUACUCUCUCCUUGUUUCCCAGUCAUAACUGCUUGUAAUUGUGCACAACAUGAGGGGUGGGGGUGGGCAGAGAGACCAUAUGGCUCCACAACAUGUGCCUUAUCAUCUAACAUAUAGUCCCUUCAAGAGAUCUAUCAUAUUUCAGGAAAUUCUGUCGCUUCUUAGUGUUGCUUAGACAGUAGCUCUUGACUUAAUAUAUGUCCUAUGUGUUUCCUUGAACUAGGAAAAAAAGAUGAUGAUAACGGAGAGCCUUUGUCCAUGGUCUGGGUGCAUUUUCCUUGUCGUUCAUAGAAUCAUAGAAUCGUAGAGUUGGAAGAGACCUCAUGGUCCAUCCAGUCGAACCCCCUGCAAGAAGCAGGAAAAUCUCAUUCAAAGCACCCCCGACAGAUGGCGAUCCAGCCUCUGCUUAAAAGCCUCCAAAGAAGGAGCCUCCACCACAGUCCGGGGAAGAGAGUUCCACUGCCGAACAGCUCUCACAGUGAGGAAGUUCUUCCUGUUGAAUCUCCUUUCCUGUAGUUUGAAGCCAUUGUUCCGCGUCCUAGUCUCCAGAGCAGCAGAAAACAAGCUUGCUCCCUCCUCCCUAUGACUUCCUUUCACAUAUUUGUAUAUGGCUAUCAUGUCUCCUCUCAGCCUUCUCUUCUGCAGGCUAAACAUACCCAGCUCUUUAAGCCGCUCCUCAUAGGGCUUGUUCUCCAGACCGUUGAUCAUUUUAGUCGCCCUCUUCUGGACGCUUUCUAGCUUGUCAACAUCUCCCUUCAACUGUGGUGCCCAGAAUUGGACACAGUAUUCCAGGUGUGGUCUGACCAAGGCAGAAUAGAGGGGGAGCAUGACUUCCCCGGAUCUAGAUGCUAUACCCCUAUUUAUGCAGGCCAGAAUCUCGUUGGCUUUUUUCGCUGCUGCAUCACAUUGUAGGCUCAUGUUUAACUUGUUGUCCACAAGGUCUCCAAGAUCUUUUUCACACGUACUGCUGUUGAGCCAGGCGUCCCCCAUUCUGUAUCUUUGCAUUUUAUUUUUUCUGCUGAAGUGAAGUAUCUUGCAUUUCAAAUAAAAUUAACUCAUGAUUUUAGAAUUGAGUAGAAAGGGCUCCCAAGGAAAAGCAUGUGGUAUCAACCUGGCACUUGUGAACUUUCCUGUUGACAGGCGUUAGAAAACCAGCUACAUCCCAUUGUUUUGAAUUAGUGUAUCUCAAUGCUGUGUCUAAAAAUGUAGGCACUCAGAUGCUUAUGACAUGUUUUUUUUAAAUGUUAAUUACAGAGGAGCUGUUGUGAGAUGAUUUGUGUUUACAGUUGCUGGACCUGUGCACUAUAGUUAGAUGUAGUGGAAAGGAUUGGUGUAUAUGUUUAGCUCAGGUCUGCUAACAGACGCCAAGGUGUUACAGAACUUUCCUCUUCCGUUAUUUAACUUUCCAACCAAGCUGGCACUCUCCUUCGAAAGAGAUGGUGAGCGUAUGAAUGUUUGCCUGUGUGCUCUUGGUACAGUCGUGUGUCUAUGUGUGUAUGGAGCCGGGAAGAGAGAAAAGAGAGAAAACAUGAGCAGGAAAGCAUGUACAUGUGUCCCCAGGCCAAAUAAAAUUGGCCAGGUUCCUAACUACAGUUACACUCAGCCUUUUGUAUGUAUGUGUACCUCCUUAAGGAAAACGUGAGCUCCUGUUUCCCUCCAGAUUUUAUGUGUGUUGGUUGAGCAUGGAUACUAACUUCUGAUCUACUUCAGUCUCCUAUUGUAUUUGAAGUAAUUUCACAUGUGGGUUUGCAGCUAGAUUUACUUCUUCCUGAGAGCCGCAGAAUACUCUCAAUUCAGAAAAAAAUAUAAUAACUGUAUUAAUAAUUCAGAUAUACAUUGAGUAACUCUUUAUUAGAAAUGCUUGAGACCAGAAGUGUUUUGGAUUCCAGACUUUUCAGAUUUUGGAAUACUUGUAUCUGCAUAUAUGUACAUAAUGCGUUUAAACUCAAGUCUAAACAUGACAUUCCUUUUUGUUUCAAAUAUACCUUAUACACAUAGCCUGUAGAUAAUUUUAUACACAAUGAUUGUAAUAAUUUUUUUGUGUACAUUGAACCAUCAAUAUUUUAGUUGCCUGUGUGGAGUUUUGGAUUUUGGAGUAUAUCAGAUUUAGAAUUCUGGAUAAGGGAUGCUCCCAAUAUUAAAAAAAAUGUUUUGUUCAAUCACAUGCUAAGAUCAAGUGAUACCCUGAACAAAAUCUAGUGCUUAUAUAAAAAUAAAAACAGUAAUAACAGAAUUCUGGUGAAUAAGUGGAUUCUGAGUCAGACUAUGUACAUUUUCAACUUGAUUGUGGCUUUUGGAGAAAAUGAAUGAAACAAACAAAUGUUGACAUCAGAAGUGGAAAGUGUUUGCCUUCCCCAGAUACUUCGAACUGCAACUCCCUCAUCCCUUAUUAUUGACUGUGCUGGGUGAGGAUGAUGGAAGUUGGAGGAGUAAAAAAUCAGAGAUGUUUCUAAUCAUUGGUUUACAUGAAUAAAUGUUUAGGCAGAACUACUUAAUGCCUUCUUUGCCUCGGUCUUCUCAGAAAAAGAAAGCCAUCUUCAACCUCAGCAACACGGAAUGGACUACUUAAUGCCUUCUUUGCCUCGGUCUUCUCAGAAAAAGAAAGCCAUCUUCAACCUCAGCAACACGGAAUGGACGAAGGAUUGGGGGAAAUCCAACCCCAAAUAGGGAAACAAGUUGUCCAGGAACACUUGGGCUCUCUAAACGAAUUCAAGUCCCUAGGGCCAGAUCAGCUACACCCAAGAGUAUUGAAGGAACUAGCGGAAGUUAUUUCAGAACCACUGGCAAUUAUCUUCGAGAGUUCUUGGAGAACGGGAGAAGUCCCAGCAGAUUGGAGGAGGGCGAAUGUGGUCCCUAUCUUCAAGAAGGGAAAAAAGAACGACCCAAACAAUUACCGUCCGGUCAGCCUCACAUCAAUACCAGGCAAAAUUCUGGAAAAGAUCAUUAAGGAAGUGGUCUGCGAACACUUAGAAACAAAUGCGGUCAUUGCUAAUAGUCAACACGGAUUUACCAAAAACAAGUCAUGCCAGACUAAUCUGAUCUCUUUUUUCGAUAGAGUUACGAGUUGGGUCGAUACAGGGAAUGCUGUGGAUGUAGUGUACCUGGAUUUCAGUAAGGCCUUCGACAAAGUCCCCCACGACCUUCUGGCAAACAAACUAGUAAAAUGUGGGCUAGACAAAACUACGGUUAGGUGGAUCUGUAAUUGGCUAAGCGAACGAACCCAAAGGGUGCUCACCAAUGCGUCAUCUUCAUCAUGGAAAGAAGUGACAAGUGGAGUGCCGCAGGGCUCCGUCCUGGGCCCGGUUCUGUUCAACAUCUUUAUUAACGACUUAGACGAAGGGUUAGAAGGCACGAUCAUCAAGUUUGCAGACGACACAAAACUGGGAGGGAUAGCUAACACUCCAGAAGACAGGAGCAGAAUUCAAAACGAUCUUGACAGACUAGAGAGAUGGGCCAAAACUAACAAAAUGAAGUUCAACAGGGACAAAUGCAAGAUACUUCACUUCGGCAGAAAAAAUGGAAAUCAAAGAUACAGAAUGGGGGACGCCUGGCUUGACAGCAGUGUGUGCGAAAAAGACCUUGGAGUCCUCGUGGACAACAAGUUAAACAUGAGCCAACAAUGUGAUGCGGCUGCUAAAAAAGCCAAUGGGAUUCUGGCCUGCAUCAAUAGGGGAAUAGCGUCUAGAUCCAGGGAAGUUAUGCUCCCCCUCUAUUCUGCCUUGGUCAGACCACACCUGGAAUACUGUGUCCAAUUUUGGGCACCACAGUUGAAGGGAGAUGUUGACAAGCUGGAAAGCGUCCAGAGGAGGGCGACUAAAAUGAUUAAGGGUCUGGAGAACAAGCCCUAUGAGGAGCGGCUUAAAGAGCUGGGCAUGUUUAGCCUGCAGAAGAGAAGGCUGAGAGGAGACAUGAUAGCCAUGUACAAAUAUGUGAAGGGAAGUCAUAGGGAAGAGGGAGCAAGCUUGUUUUCUGCUGCCCUGCAGACUAGGACACGGAACAAUGGCUUCAAAAUACAGGAAAGGAGAUUCCACCUGAACAUCAGGAAGAACUUCCUCACUGUGAGAGCUGUUCGACAGUGGAACUCUCUCCCCGGGGCUGUGGUGGAGGCUCCUUCCUUGGAGGCUUUUAAGCAGAGGCUGGAUGGCCAUCUGUCGGGGGUGCUUUGAAUGCGAUUUCCUGCUUCUUAGCAGGGGGUUGGACUAGAUGGCCCAUGUGGUCUCUUCCAACUCUAU